AUUGAACGCUGGCGGCAUGCCUUACACAUGCAAGUCGAACGGCAGCACGGGAGCAAUCCUGGUGGCGAGUGGCGAACGGGUGAGUAAAGUAUCGGAACGUGCCCAGUCGUGGGGGAUAACGUAGCGAAAGUUACGCUAAUACCGCAUACGAUCUAUGGAUGAAAGCGGGGGAUCGCAAGACCUCGCGCGAUUGGAGCGGCCGAUAUCAGAUUAGGUAGUUGGUGGGGUAAAGGCUCACCAAGCCGACGAUCCGUAGCUGGUCUGAGAGGACGACCAGCAACACUGGGACUGAGACACGGCCCAGACUCCUACGGGAGGCAGCAGUGGGGAAUUUUGGACAAUGGGCGAAAGCCUGAUCCAGCCAUGCCGCGUGCAGGAUGAAGGCCUUCGGGUUGUAAACUGCUUUUGUACGGAACGAAAAGGUUUGGCCUAAUAAGCUGAGCUCGUGACGGUACCGUAAGAAUAAGCACCGGCUAACUACGUGCCAGCCGCCGCAGUAA
rnacentral:rRNA from 1 species